GUAGCUUCGUGUAUGCGCAGUCAGUCCCUGACAGGUUUGUUCUGUUCGCAGUGAGCUGAUGUGUUUUCCUCGUUAGUCCUCAAUAAUUUCUGUCCAUCCUGUCAUCGAGGGAAGGAAAGGUGUUUUGGAAAGGACACAGGAGGAUGUCGGGUCGGGCUGAACAUGACGGUCCACUUGUCUGCAGACCUGCAAACUCCGUGCCUCCGUAGCAGUGCUAUGCUUCUGAUAUGUUUGGCGUUGAUUCUCAGUUCAGUGAUAGAAGCCCUGCAGGUGAUCGGAGGAGACAAAACUGUUGUUGAAAAAGGGACAGUUGUUCUACCCUGCAGAAUAAUUGACAACAAGGAGACUCUCACCCAGAUUUCAUGGCAGAGGAAAACCAGAGGAAAACCUCAGAAUGACAACUUCUUGACAAUCUUGGAUACAAAUGAAGCGAAGUAUCUCAAUGGAAAGGAUCAACGAUUUAAAUUCAUUGGAGACAUUAAUGAAGGCAACGGAUCUCUGCAGUUAUCUAAUGUCACGUUGAAGGACGAAGGCACCUACACAUGCGUUGUCACCUUGUUCCCCAGUGGAAAUCACCCAGCAGUGAUAACUCUUAACUUGCUUGUGCCUCCAGUCUCCAGCCUGAAGGAUAACCCUCCUUUAUUGGGGAAUGAAGAGGUUCCCCUCGUCACCUGCACAGCUGCUGGUUCUAAGCCCCCAGCAGAGGUGAAGUGGCUCACUGGUACUCUGGCAGGACUGAAUGUAACAACAACUAAUGUCACCCAUGACAAUGGUACGACUACCACAGUCAGUUCCCUAUCAGGAGUUCCAACCAUAGACAUCUAUGAAAAGGAGGUCAAAUGUGUCGUCACCAGUGCAGCCCCAUCUGGAAGCAAAACUUUGACCUACUCCAUACAGAUUUACUUCACACCCAUUGAAGUGGAAAUUUCCAAAGGAAAAGACCCAGAAACACUUGAAUGCUCAGCUAAAGCGAAUCCAAAAGCAGACUUCACAUGGAGCAGAGAUGAUGAUGACAAACUGCCGCCUUCUGCUGUCGCUAAUGGGGCAACGCUAAGAUUUCAGAGCAAGACCACUGACAAUGAAGGUCUCUACUAUUGUACUGCGUCUAAUACUCAUGGAUCAAUGCGUGGUGCACUCUUUAUGGACGUGAUACCAGGCAAAUCUGGCAUAGCUGGUUGGAUCCUUUUUGCCCUUUUGCUUUUCCUGAAUGUUGCUGCUGCUGCUGUGUGGUACCUGAAAUUUCGAAGGUACCAAGCACAGUACUACAUACAGCCACAAGAGAAUGGACGCAUGGAGGUACCAGAGAGUGACGGGGAUCUUUAAUGUAGCAGAAGCUGAAGGAGAGAACGCAGAGAGACAGCUUUGAAAAACCAUGGAAACAUGAUAACGUCAAGAAAGAACGCAGCUGGCGUGCAGGAGAUUCAUUUUACAUUCUUCAUUGAGCUGGUUGGUGAGCAGAUGCAGCUUUCUGAAUAGCUCCUCUGUCUACCACAGUUAACACAGUAACAGAACAGACUCAUGUUCAUGGAGGUAGCCGCUAUCACAAGCACUUGUGAGCACAAGGCCCUGCUUCUGUGGUCUGUUGGUGUCUGCCACGUUUGACUGAUCUGGAUAGGGCAUCUUCGAGUUGGUGGUCCGCAAAACCGAGUUGCAGCAUUCUUUGGAGUGAGCCCUAGUACCAUCUGCAAACCAAAGGCCAAAAUCCAUAUAACAGGGGAUGUCAAGCUGUAAAGUGGGCGUCCCAAAAAGACAGUUCCUUCAUCAUGUCAGCACUUAGGAACCAUAGGCUGUCUUAUACAUUCGCAGACUGCUCUUCACUGUUCAGUGAUGAGUCCAGAUUCUGCCUAUGGUACUUGCAUUGGGUCAAAGUGUGUAGAAGAUGUGGAGAAUGCUUUGAUGAUUGCUGCACCGAUAGGAGUCUUGUGAUGGAGGCGGUGUGAUAGUGUGGGGCGGCAUCUCGCUCACUGAAAGAACGAGGUUUGUCAUUAUUGGAGACAGUACUGAGAUAAAGUUCUAUCAUUCAAGACGCCCAGACAGAGGAGGAUUUCUCAAAACUACCUCAAGAAUCUGGGAGUGGAGUCGAUGGAAUGGCUUCCCAGCAGUCCUUACCUCACUUGUGGGAUCAGAUAUUUGGCUGCACUGUUCACGUUUCUAGAGUUACCAACACAGCUACAUUUGUUGUCUUGCAACAAAUGCUGGGUGAAGAAUCGAAGACCACAGCAGUGCGUGAGCAGGCCGGGUGACGUGCAUGAGCGGGAAGUGCCAGGCUGUUGUGGCUGUGGAUGGUUUUCCCACAUGCUACCGAGGCCUUUGUUUGUUAAAUGAGUAAAUUGUUUUGUCUUGUUUCCUCUGACUUCAGUCAUUCAAUCCAUCAAACAAGAGUCAACAGCAAAGAAAAGCUGUCCGGCAUUGUCAGAAGGUUUGGAAGGUAAGGAAUUUUUCGUAGACGCAGCCCCCUCAUACUCAGCUGCUCAUCCCACAAAUGCAUGUUCCUUACAAAUGUGGCAGGAAGUAAUUAAGUCAUGUAGUUUAGUAAUUCAUUUUACACAACUGUGUUUGCACUGCAAUCUGUUUCAAGGAUAAAACACCAAAUACUACUUUUGCUGAAAACAAAGUUGGAAAAGAGUUUUUUUGUUCCCUUUAGAAAGACUUCUUUAUAUCUAAACUGAACAAACGGUUGAGUUAGUUAGAACCGCGACCUCACAGUACAGUACAGGAUUUAAAGCAGGCUGCACAGCGCUGCUUGUCUGCCUCUCUGCUGUCUGUGUCCUGUCAACUUCACACUCAGUUCAUUCAAACAUUCGGAGAUUAUCUGUGUGUGCUUUGUUGACUGCACAAGGAAUGUUUUGAGGCCACAAACAAAACCUUGUUUACGGCCACUAAUUGCUUAUGGCUGGUGGGAGUGGUAAUUUGAUCAUAAUACAUUCUCUCUCUCUCUCUCUCAUUCUACAAGAAUCAGUCAUAAUACUGUUUCCGAAGCCCACAUACUUGCAGAACAGAUGUAUUGUGCUGUAUGUGCACAGUCAGGCUUCAGCUGCUCAAGGACAAAACACCAAACGCUACUUUAGCUGAGAACAAAGUUUCUUCAGUUUAUAUCUAAACUGAAGAAACUGAGUCGGUUGAGUUGAUUACAGUCUGCAACCUGUUGUGGUGAUCCAAACCACCCCGAGUUCUGUUGACCUGAUGUAGAGCAGAGAGAUAUUGAAUUUAAAGAAGACAAAAAACAAGUAAUUUAGUUUCGCCUUUGCAGAGGGAGAACACAGCUUUUACAGACUCCGCAGUCCGUUCACCAUCGCAUCCAGCUGAGUUCUGAACUCCAACAGUUCUGGCUCGUUUUAUUAAACACACACACAAACAGGUGUUACCUUUGUCUCUGGGCAGAUUAAUACAUGUCUUCACUCCAUAUAUGGUAAAAUAAGAUAUAACAAACUGACCGUUAUUUCCUGAAACACUCUUUUUGUGACAGUUAUCUCUCCACUGUUUCACGUUAUUGACUUUAAGUGCGGUUUGCAUAACAGACAGUUAGAUUGCUGUCCUAUGUCUCACAUGUAAGUGCACAUGAUCCUACCCUUCAACAUUUUGCAAUACACACACAUCAUCAUACUAAGUUGUUGUUCACACAAAAGAAUUAACACACCACACAAUUAACUAGUAUUAACUGUAACCUUCCAUCAAACCUCACAGCCAGAUAUCACUAAAUCCUACACACUGGACCUUUUCAUUGUGUAAAAGCUGAAAUUAAAGGUGAGUGAGUACAGGAUUUAAUUCAAACGUGUGAAAAAACGACUCUAGUCUGGACUUUGUCUGGAUGUAUUUGCGUAAUCGGCUUCAUUAAGCAGCUUCUGGCAGCAGCAGAGCGUCUCUCCUUCACCUCUAGCGCCAUAAGUUACUAUGGUUACAGUGACGGUACUAUGCUACCCUAAGUUACUAUGGUUACAGGAAUGCCCUGAAACUUUAUGAGUCUCAAUAAAACCAUGAAUGUAGCCUGAUAGCUCCUCAAUGCUGAAAUCUUAUCAACAUAAUAACGGUCUUUGUCGCUUCAGUAAAUUAUCAGUUAAUGUGUGACCACAGCACAUAAUAAAUGACCAAUGCAAACAAAAUAUUUCAGAGAACAACCCCUUCCCUGUCUUUCUAGUUUCAUAACAACUAGUUCCUUUGUUUUCUGGACGAAACAAUGCAGCAGUCUGUCAGUCUGUGAUCAGUUUAUCCAAACACUGAAGAUAUCAGCUGUGUGUGCAACUUGUUGUUCUGCAGAAAAAAAAAGCUUCUACAAUACUGCCCCUUUGUGGUGAUUUGAUCACAAUACACCCACUCCAUUAUUCUACAAGAAUCACUCGCACUAUUAAAGCCCGCAUACUUGCAGAAUAGGCCAGGCGUGUCGUGCUGUAUGUAUCCUGCAUCUUGUCCAGUAUGUGCAUCGUCAGGCUUCAGCUGCAUGAGCAGAUAAAGAGGGAAGUUUCCAAAGUAAGAAGGAUGUACAUGUGCAUUGUGAUGUUCUCAUAUUUAAUAUGAUCGGUGUUGAUGUGUCUAAGUGUUAAUGGUAACAUAUUUAGAGAACUGAAAUCUAGCUGUGUAGAAGUCGGUCUAAAAUAAAGUACAUUUACUGUAACAGCUGUUCUUCUUCAGGCACUUCUAUUUUCCAUGACUCUAUAUUUGAACUUCUGCAUUUCAGAGUGAAAUAUACUUUUUACUCAUUCUGCUCAGUUUAAUUUUAAUGUAUGGCUACUGUGUUAUAGGUUCAUUCUAAUGUAUGUUUAAUGUAUGUUUUGAUGCUGCUACUGGAUGUCUGAAUUUCCACCAGGAUCAAUCAUCUGUCCGUCUGUCAUCCAUCCAUCCAUCCCAUUUAUUUGACACCUUUUUGGUCAAAUAAAUGAAUAAUAAUAAUAAAAAUAAUAAUAAAAUAAUAAUAAUAAAAAUUAUUAUAGGUUGUUAUGAUAUUUGUCCAACAUUUGCGAUUAACACAUCCUGAAGAGAGCAUGAAUACUUUUACUUCUAGUAUUUCGAUAGCGUUCACUUACUACUACUUUUACUUAUAACCAAGUAUUUUUUCCACCUCUGGUAUAAAAGUUUGAAUUUAAAUGCAAUGUUUAAGCACUAUAAAUGUCCAGGCUGCCUUGUAUUACGCUGUAAUCCUGUCUAAAAGUCAGUUUUCUCUCUGUCAGUACCUUGAAAAAUAAUAAAUUAUGCUUCCGUUCA